GGAAGUAAAAGUCGUAACAAGGUUUCCGUAGGUGAACCUGCGGAAGGAUCAUUAAUGAACUCUCGAGGGACACGGCUGCUGCUGGGCUUCCCUGGAAGUCAACGUGCACACGGUCUCUCUUCUCGUUCAACCAAUCUGCCCCUAUCUGUGCACCCCUCGUGAGCCGAGAACCUCUCGGCUUAUGUCUUUUUCACAUAGCAAUCCCGCUUUAUGAGUGAAUGAGCAGUCGUCCGAGCUUUGUCUCGACGUUAGCCGAAACACACACAACUUUCAACAACGGAUCUCUUGGCUCUCGCAUCGAUGAAGAACGCAGCGAAAUGCGAUAAGUAAUGUGAAUUGCAGAAUUCAGUGAAUCAUCGAAUCUUUGAACGCACCUUGCGCCCCUUGGUACUCCGAGGGGCAUGCCUGUUUGAGUGUCAUCAGACCAUCAACCCAAGGGGCCUUCACGGGCCUCAUUGGUGCUUGGAGCUUGCGGCGUGCGGGGGGUUCUUGCGAGCCUCCGCUCCUCGCGGAAUACAUCAGCAGAUGUCCAACUCCGGACUGGCCCUGACGUGAUAAACAAUCUAUGUCUGGGCUCGGGCCGCAUCCGUCGACUCUGCCUCGAACGGGUCGCGCCAUGCCAGGCGAAGGACCCAUUGACGACUUUGACCUCAAAUCAGGUAGGAUUACCCGCUGAACUUAAGCAUAUCAAUAAGCGGAGGA
rnacentral:rRNA from 1 species